rnacentral:rRNA from 1 species
AUUGAACGCUGGCGGCAGGCCUAACACAUGCAAGUCGAACGAGUGGCGGACGGGGGAGUAUUGUAUGGGAAACUGCCUGCUGGAGGGGGAUAACUACUGGAGACGGUAGAUAAUACCGCAUACCAUCGGAUGUGCCCAGAUGGGAUUCGCUAGGAGGUGGUGUAAUGGCUCACCUAGGCGACUAUCCCUAGCUGGUCGGAGAGGAUGACCAGCCACACUGGAACUGAGACACGGUCCAGACUCAUACGGGAUGCAGCAGUGGGGAAUAUUGCACAAUGGGCGCAAGCCUGAUGCAGCCAUGCCGCGUGUAUGAAGAAGGCCUUCGGGUUGGAAAGUACUUUCAGCGAGGAGGCGUUACUCGCAGAAGAAGCACCGGCUAACUCCGUGCCAGCAGCCGCGGUAAUUC